UGUGAAUCUAUUUUCAACGCCAGAGGAACAACUAUGGCUCCAGGAGGUAGAUGGCAAGUCCUAUCAAGAAGGCCAGAGGGGACAUCAAAAUCUGUUUCUUCUUUCCAAGAAGCUUACAAAUUCCUUGAAAACGGAAUCUGGUUCUUUGAAAGGGUCUUUCAAUACGGUUGUGAUGCUAUUUGAACACCUACCCAGAAUUCAACAGAAAGGGAUAAAAAAGCAGAAGGAAUCAGACCGCAGAAGGAUCUCAACUUCUGCACAAGACGCAUUGCAUAUCCUGAUUGGUGAAGCAGAUUCCUUGAAAAUAACCCAUCUUAUUCGUACAGUUUGG
rnacentral:lncRNA from 1 species